rnacentral:rRNA from 1 species
UACGUAGGGUGCGAGCGUUGUCCGGAAUUAUUGGGCGUAAAGGGCUCGUAGGCGGUCUGUUGCGUCGGUAGUGAAAACUCAGGGCUUAACCCUGAGCCUGCUUCCGAUAUGGGCAGACUAGAGGUAUGCAGGGGAGAACGGAAUUCCUGGUGUAGCGGUGAAAUGCGCAGAUAUCAGGAGGAACACCGGUGGCGAAGGCGGUUCUCUGGGCAUUACCUGACGCUGAGGAGCGAAAGUGUGGGGAGCGAACAGG